rnacentral:rRNA from 1 species
CGGCAGCACAGCAGUAGCAAUACUGUGGGUGGCGAGUGGCGGACGGGUGAGUAAUGCAUCGGGAUCUACCCAAACGUGGGGGAUAACGUAGGGAAACUUACGCUAAUACCGCAUACGUCUUACGAGAGAAAGCAGGGGACCUUCGGGCCUUGCGCGGUUGGACGAACCGAUGUGCGAUUAGCUAGUUGGUAGGGUAAUGGCCUACCAAGGCGACGAUCGCUAGCUGGUCUGAGAGGAUGAUCAGCCACACUGGAACUGAGACACGGUCCAGACUCCUACGGGAGGCAGCAGUGGGGAAUAUUGGACAAUGGGCGCAAGCCUGAUCCAGCAAUGCCGCGUGUGUGAAGAAGGCCUUCGGGUUGUAAAGCACUUUUAUCAGGAGCGAAAUACUACCGGCUAAUAUCCGGUGGGGCUGACGGUACCUGAGGAAUAAGCACCGGCUAACUUCGUGCCAGCAGCCGCGGUAAUACGAAGGGUGCAAGCGUUAAUCGGAAUUACUGGGCGUAAAGCGUGCGUAGGCGGUUAUUUAAGUCUGUUGUGAAAUCCCCGGGCUCAACCUGGGAAUGGCAAUGGAUACUGGAUAGCUAGAGUGUGAUAGAGGAUGGUGGAAUUCCCGGUGUAGCGGUGAAAUGCGUAGAGAUCGGGAGGA